rnacentral:rRNA from 1 species
UUUCGGGGGUGCCUUAUUCAUGCAAGUCGAACGAACUCUGGUAUUGAUUGGUGCUUGCAUCAUGAUUUACAUUUGAGUGAGUGGCGAACUGGUGAGUAACACGUGGGAAACCUGCCCAGAAGCGGGGGAUAACACCUGGAAACAGAUGCUAAUACCGCAUAACAACUUGGACCGCAUGGUCCGAGCUUGAAAGAUGGCUUCGGCUAUCACUUUUGGAUGGUCCCGCGGCGUAUUAGCUAGAUGGUGGGGUAACGGCUCACCAUGGCAAUGAUACGUAGCCGACCUGAGAGGGUAAUCGGCCACAUUGGGACUGAGACACGGCCCAAACUCCUACGGGAGGCAGCAGUAGGGAAUCUUCCACAAUGGACGAAAGUCUGAUGGAGCAACGCCGCGUGAGUGAAGAAGGGUUUCGGCUCGUAAAACUCUGUUGUUAAAGAAGAACAUAUCUGAGAGUAACUGUUCAGGUAUUGACGGUAUUUAACCAGAAAGCCACGGCUAACUACGUGCCAGCAGCCGCGGUAAUACGUAGGUGGCAAGCGUUGUCCGGAUUUAUUGGGCGUAAAGCGAGCGCAGGCGGUUUUUUAAGUCUGAUGUGAAAGCCUUCGGCUCAACCGAAGAAGUGCAUCGGAAACUGGGAAACUUGAGUGCAGAAGAGGACAGUGGAACUCCAUGUGUAGCGGUGAAAUGCGUAGAUAUAUGGAAGAACACCAGUGGCGAAGGCGGCUGUCUGGUCUGUAACUGACGCUGAGGCUCGAAAGUAUGGGUAGCAAACAGGAUUAGAUACCCUGGUAGUCCAUACCGUAAACGAUGAAUGCUAAGUGUUGGAGGGUUUCCGCCCUUCAGUGCUGCAGCUAACGCAUUAAGCAUUCCGCCUGGGGAGUACGGCCGCAAGGCUGAAACUCAAAGGAAUUGACGGGGGCCCGCACAAGCGGUGGAGCAUGUGGUUUAAUUCGAAGCUACGCGAAGAACCUUACCAGGUCUUGACAUACUAUGCAAAUCUAAGAGAUUAGACGUUCCCUUCGGGGACAUGGAUACAGGUGGUGCAUGGUUGUCGUCAGCUCGUGUCGUGAGAUGUUGGGUUAAGUCCCGCAACGAGCGCAACCCUUAUUAUCAGUUGCCAGCAUUAAGUUGGGCACUCUGGUGAGACUGCCGGUGACAAACCGGAGGAAGGUGGGGAUGACGUCAAAUCAUCAUGCCCCUUAUGACCUGGGCUACACACGUGCUACAAUGGAUGGUACAACGAGUUGCGAACUCGCGAGAGUAAGCUAAUCUCUUAAAGCCAUUCUCAGUUCGGAUUGUAGGCUGCAACUCGCCUACAUGAAGUCGGAAUCGCUAGUAAUCGCGGAUCAGCAUGCCGCGGUGAAUACGUUCCCGGGCCUUGUACACACCGCCCGUCACACCAUGAGAGUUUGUAACACCCAAAGUCGGUGGGGUAACCUUUUAGGAACCAGCCGCCUAAGGGGGGCCCCAGG